ACCACGUGAUCAUCCACGUGAGCAGUGCAAGUUCGCUGAGAAAAGUAGGAGCUGCAGAUCCCCGAGACAACAAAGUGCAGAGCUGGAUGAACACCGCAGGCCAAGCAGCAUCAGUGAAGCAGGAAAGCUGACGUUUCGGGCCCAGCUCCUUCGCUGAGACCAAGAUUUGUGCAAUUGAGAUACCAGCGAUCGUUGCCAAAGCCCUGUUACUUGUGGAGAAGGUCAUGUUUAACUUCUGUGUGCUGCUGCAGUUCAUAUGAUGAAGGUGCUCCCACAAUGCGGUCAUUUGAGAAGUUACAGAUCAUUCAUCGAGCGAUACUGAAGAGCUGAUGGUGAUAUUACAAGUGGACUUGCAGGUGGGAAACUCAAUAAUUGUAACACCAAACUCUGACAGAAUUAUUCAAUUCAUCAACAUCUGGAUAUUUGCAUUGUGUAGUGGUUCAUGUGUGAAACGAACUUUCAGUGGAGGUGGUGGAUGCAGAUUUCCACAAUUUUACUUCUGCACUGUUCUUAACCUUUUGAUCCCUCUGAAAGACUGAGUUACAAUGCCUGUCCUUCCUCCCUGGCUGUCCCACCUCUCUUUCAGCAGUUUUGUGCAAAUACUGACUGGAUCCCUUACCUGGAGGAUAUUUAUUUGAAUUUGUUCUAAUGAUGAUCCAGCAUAUUUCCCAAGUGUCGCUCCAUAAAUGUCCAGAGGAUUUCUCGAUUUCACAAUCUGUGGUUGUUCUUCUGGUUCCUCACUCUCUGCACUUACUUUCUGUUUGAAAGCUUAGUCUGCAAUUGGAGAAUUCAAACAGGUCCACAUCCAGCUCUGACAGUCACUUUGUUUAUCACAAACCAGGUACCUCAGGAUUUUGAACAUUGGAGGAAAAAGCAGCAUUCACACUGGGGAGAAAUGCACAUGGUCUGUAACGAGUCUGUGAAGAUUCAUCUGAAAUGUCCGAACACCAGCGCAGUGACACUGGGGAGAGACUGUGGAAAUGUGCAGAUUGCAGGAAGGAAUUUUUAAAAUCCAUCCCAGCUAGAAACUGACCACCAGAGUCACACUGGAGAGAAACCAUUCACCUGCUCUGAUUGUGGAAUGGGAUUCACUCAGUCAUCUAACCUGCUUAAACACCACUGAGUUCGCACUGUAGAGAAACCAUUUACAUGCUUGAAAUGUGGGAAAGCAUUCACUCAGACAUCUCAACCGCUGAUGCACCAGCGAAUUCACACUGGAGACAGACCAUUGGCCUGUUCUGCGUGAGGGAAAGGCUUUGCUGACUCGAAUUGCCCGCUGAUCCACCAGCGACUUCACUCUGGGGAGUGACCAUUCAUCUGCUCCCAGUGUGGGAAGGGAUUCACUUGCUCACCUCACCGACAGAGCGUUCACACUGGGGAGAAACCAUUCACCUGCUCUAAAUUUGUGAAAGCAUUCACUUUGUCGUCCUACCUGCUCGUGUUCCAGCAGGUUCAUACUAGGGAGGGACCAUUCAUGAGCUCUGAGUGGGGGGAAAGCAUUCACUCAGUUAUCCAAACUGCUAACACACCAGCGAGUUCACAAAGAAGCACAGUUGAAGGAUUUUGCUGUCACACUCACAAUCAAAUGAACCAUGGUGUUGGGCUGUUUGUACUGAUGUUACUGAUCCCUGCUCAAUUAAACGUGCUGGUAUUGCAGAUAAAAUGUUAAUAAUAGUUGUAUAUCUGUCAGGUAGAGCUUGGAAAUAGUCACGUUAUCAUGACACAUCGACACAUUCACACUGACUAAAGACUAUCCACCCGCACAGUAUGUGAAAAGAGAUUUCCUGGUUCAUCAGGACUGGUUAAUGAGCAGCAAAUCUCUGAGUAACUGUUAAGUUGGUUUUUGAUUCUGCUGUUAGCUAUAUCCAAACCAUACUUUUUAGACUUGCUUCUGGAGAUCAUAGAAUCCCUCCAGUGUGGAAGCAGACCAUUUAGCCCAUCGAGUCCACGCUGAACUUACAAAGAGUGCCCUACCCAGACCCUGCCUGCGUGGGUUUCCUCCAGGUGCUCUAGUUUCUCCCCACAAACCAAAAAUGUGCAAAUUAGGUAGAAUGACAAUGCUAAAUUGCCCAUAGUGUCACGUGUGCAAAAUGCAGGGUAAGGUGUGAGACUGGGUGCCAUGCUGUUUGGAGGGUUGGUAAGGGACUGAAUGGCCAUCUUCCACACUGUAGGGAUUCUAUGAUGAUCUCAGUGGCCCUUUAUUUGUUAGUUAUGCCUGGUCAAUAUGUUUGCACACCUUUACAAUUACGGAUUCUAUUGCUCUCCACAGACAUGUUUCAACUACUAAUACAUAUUAGUUUAUUGGAAACAAUCAAAGGAAAGUUUUUUUUAAAAUCCAAACAAAAGAUCGGGAUGAGUCAUGUACUAUAUCUGUGAUAGCCGAUUGGAAAAAUGCAAUGAAACCUGGUGACCUGUGAAUGGGAAAUGCAGUCUCUUCAGAUCUUUACCAGGUGUCCAUAGCAGUGACGGAUCUCGUGAUGAAUACAAAAACCAAGACAUUGUGUGAUAUCUAGUCUAUAUUUUCUAUUUCGUCUGCUGUCCCUUACACCACAUGUCAAGUUUGUUUUCGGAGGCCCUCAUGGACUUGCUGCAAUAACAAGACACUUACCUGUUUAGGAAAACACAAAUCCUUUCAUUACCAAGCAAGUACAAGCUGUGGAGAAUUACUGUACUCAACCCGGCACAGAGUGCAGAGUUUUGCAAGUAAUUGUCCCCGAGCAGCGGACAGUCCCCGCUUUUUAUACUUUACAAAAGACAUGAUACUGAAAAUGAUUUCACAAUUUACAAUGGCAUGAUGCCUAAAACAGUUACUACAACAGACAAAAACAGGAUACCAAGCAAUUAUUACAUCAAGAACAUAAAAGACCAGGAUAUGUUAUCGAUUGCUAGU